UACGUAGGGGGCUAGCGGUGUCCGGAUUUAUUGGGCGUAAAGAGCGUGUAGGCGGCCGGGUAAGUCCGGUGUAAAAACUCGAGGCUUAACCUCGAGAUGUCAUCGGAAACUAUUCGGCUAGAGUCCGGAAGAGGAGAGUGGAAUUCCUGGUGUAGCGGUGAAAUGCGCAGAUAUCAGGAAGAACACCUAUGGCGAAAGCAGCUCUCUGGGACGGUACUGACGCUGAGACGCGAAAGCGUGGGGAGCGAACAGG
rnacentral:rRNA from 1 species